rnacentral:lncRNA from 1 species
UCUGCUCAGAUGUUUACUUCUCAGUGAUGAUGAGGCGGGGGACACAGCAGAGAGUUGUUGCCCAGGCUAGUCUCGAACUCCUGGCCUCAAGUGAUCCUCUCACCUCAUUGUCCGGAGUAGCUGAGAUUAUAGUGGUGAACCACCAUGCCUGGCACCCCCUCAGCUUUAUUAACUCUAACCCUCCCGGACCAUAGAAUGUGACUGUAUUGGAGAUGGGAACUUCGAAAAGUUGAUUAAGGCAGAAUAAGGCGUUAGACUGGGCCCUAAUCUAAUCUGACUGGUAUCCUUAUAAGAAGAGGACAUUGAGAUUCACGAAGACACCAAGAUUUGCACGUAGAGGAAAGACCCUGUGGGAACACACCAAGAAGGCAGCCAUCUGCAACCCAAAGAGCUAGGCCCCAGGAAAAGGCCCCUGCCGCCAUCUUGAUCCAGGACUUCCGCCAUCUUUACCCAGGACUGCUACUCUCCCAAGCAGUGAGAUAAGUCCAUUUCUGUUGUUUAAGCCACUCAGCCUGUGGCAUUUUGUUAUGGCAACUCCAGUAAGAGAAUACAGGGUUGUAUCUAGUUUGUAAUGUUAUGAACAAUGCUGCUAAAAACAUUUUAGUUUCUCUCCACAUGUACCUCAUACUUUCUUCUCCAUAUGCAAGUGUGAUACUGCUGGGUUGUCGAGUAUACAUAUUUUUCUUUACUAAGAUAGUGCCUGAAAGUUUUUCCACAGAAGUGUAAAAUUUU